rnacentral:rRNA from 1 species
AAUCAACGCUGGCGGCGUGCCUCAGACAUGCAAGUCGAACGCGAAAGUUCCCUUCGGGGGAUAAGUAGAGUGGCGUCCGGGUGAGUAACACGUAGGUAAUCUACCUUUGGGUGGGGAAUAACAACCGGAAACGGUUGCUAAUACCGCAUAAUGCAGCGGCACCACAUGGUGACAGUUGUUAAAGCGGGGGAUCGCAAGACCUCGCGCCUAAAGAGGAGCCUGCGGCGGAUUAGCUAGNGGUAGGGUAACGGCCUACCAAGGCAACGAUCCGUAGCCGGCCUGAGAGGGCGGUCGGCCACACUGACACUGAAAUACGGGUCAGACUCCUACGGGAGGCAGCAGUCGGGAAUUUUGGGCAAUGGGCGAAAGCCUGACCCAGCAACGCCGCGUGAAGGAUGAAAUCCCUCGGGAUGUAAACUUCGCAAGAACAGGAAGAAUAAGUAGGGGACAAUACCCCCUAUGAUGACGGUACUGUUUGUAAGCUCCGGCUAACUCCGUGCCAGCCGCCGCGGU